UAGCCAGGAGGGCUGACGCGCGACUCACGUACCUAGAGAGGCUACAUGAUAGAAUGUGGGUAAUGAAUUGUCUUUUUUUAACCAAACUUCCAUCUACGAAAGCAACGGGUUACCGUGUAGCUGCAGCUCCUCAUCAGUCAAUUCGUCCACGUCCAGUGUCAGCGUACAGUGGCAACAUGCAAGGUGGGAGCCCAUGAUGCUAAAAUGUGACGUUUGACCUCCAAAUUCUCUUGGGAUGAAUGAGGAAACAACCCCAUGGAACCCUCCAGUAGGUGACAGUAUGUCGUCAGCAGUGGAGGCCAGUAUGUACAACAGUAUUCAGGCCAUCCUCAGACAGGCUGCCUCCUCAUGCAACAAAGGUAUGCUGAGGUGGACUCUUCAUAAGAAGGUGGAGACCCAUCCAUCUAACAGUGUCUCACUGGUCAGGGUUCUGGUCAAAGAGCUAGAGAAGGUGGAGAGACUUGACUAUAAGAUGCAUGUCAUUCCAUUGCUUCACACUCUCAACUAUGUUAUUAUUCAGCAGUCUAGCCACAUUCCAUGCAACCUGUUUCAGAGAGUGUAUGAGUGCUUCAAACGGCUCCUAACACUUCCAGAGCCCUACUGUACUAUCGCACUGAGAUACAUGAGAGGCAUAAAGAUGGAGCAGAUCACACCAGCUCCCUCCCCGACAAUAACUUCCUCCACAGGAGCUUUGUAUCAGAGAAGGGUGAUUGCUGAGCAGAGCCUAAGGAACAAACAUUUCCCCCAGCAGGAAAAGGUAUUUGUGUUUGCAGACCCGGCUGUGUUCUCAGGGCCCCUGUGGCAGGCGGUGAGGGCAGACCUGGUGCUGGCCAGCCCCCAAAGCGACGUACUGGCAAGACGGGUGUUACUGCACACUCUGCAGGCUGGACUGGUGAAGGCCUGUCAUGGUCCCAUACUGACUCAAGCUCUGGAGGAUCUAGGAGAAGAUGUGGAGCAGUACUUCCAGGAGGUGGUGUUAGCUGUAGAGCAGAGUAUAGAGAACGGCGAGGCAGGCCGUGACCAGUACCUAACCAGGCUACAGCACAUCUACAGGGACAUCCUGACCUCUGCUAACCAAGACCCAAAGGCCCAUGGCUCUCUUUCUAACACUCCAUUGCCCUCGCCAGAGAUUCAGUUCCACCUGUGGACAAACGAAGAGGAGCUGUGGAAUGAGCUGGUAAACUUCACCCUAAACGUUUCCACCUCUGAGCGGAACUCUAUGUACCAGGAGGAGGAAGAGGAGGAUGUUUCUAAGAGGGUUUCCCACCUGUCUGUUGAUAGUGGAAUAGAGAAGGACCUGUCUGACAUGGGGGAGCGGGAACAGAGGAAUCCAUUCACUCGGUCACGGUCACCGUGUUUCAGAGGGAGAAUGAAGCCAGAAGACAAAAUGGCUCUGGUACAGGAAAACAUCAAGGGGCCCACCUGUAGCACCCCUCUCCCUAAAGAGGAGGGGAACCAUACCGCACGCAUAGUGAUGAUGGGAGACGACAGGGUGCUGGGGAGACUGGCCAAGGUGUAUCACUCCAUCCGAAAACGGGAGGCAAAACAUCUCAUCUUGACCAAGAGAGUGAACCUACAGAUAUACUACAUCCCUGUCACUGAUGAGCCUAUUGUCAAUUCACCUGAAAGCACAUCACAAGUCGGAGACAGGUUGUCUCUAGCCUCGUUCUUAGGAAGGGUCGAUCCCUGGUACGAAAGCAACAUCAUCAGUUUGGGAGCCAUGAUUCCAAAGCUGGCAGGAACGCAGUCCAGUCACAGCAGGUCAUCAGAACCCAACCACUUCCUUGUGGAUGUCCUCUCCUACUACCUUCGCUGUGGCCUACAGCCUGUCCACUUCACACUCUACUCUGUCAAGAUCUCUGUCUCUGGCCAGACUGGCAGCCCUGUGGACGAUGUGUUUGUGUCCCACCUGGAUGCUGAGUUCCCGGAGUCUAAAACACUCAGAGAAAAUCUGAGACAAGAGAGAUCUAGUAGGCGACGAACAAGGAAGACACUUGGAACCUGUGGAGUGGUGGUUUCUGUGAAUUACAGUAAGGUCUCCUUGAGCAAACAAGAGGUUGUUCAGGGAAUGUCAGUCAUGACAUGUGGAGUGGGCAUCAGUGCAAUAUCACCCAAUGAAACAGAAGGUCUUGAUUUCCUCACUGUCAAUUUUGACAGUACAAAUCCAAGAUGCUGCACGGAGAUCAGAACCCAAAACAUUAAAAUCAGAAUCCUGGAGGAUAAGACCUUCACUGUCUGUCUGGACAAAGACUGUCGCAGGAAAUACACACAUGUGCAAAGCAUUGAGAUCUCUCCAUGUUUGGAUCCAGGGUAUUGCCUCCAGACAAGUUCCAAGUCCAAGUUCAGUGUGGGAGAGGAGAGGGAGUCGGGGCUGAGCAAAUACAUGUGCAAGAUCCUGCCUCUGCCAAUCAAUACCUUCACUGGCAUCAACCACUGAAGGGAUUUGAUUAUUUGGCCCGGGCUCCAUCCCAGGCGUGAGCCAGGUGCCCCGCUCUGGCCAACGGCGAAGUACAUGUUAAUCAAUAAUUGGAAGAAGCAAUUUCAUAAAUUCAUUAAGUGCAGCGUCAUUAAUCACGUAAGACCAAAACAUUUUCUUUUUACAUCAUCCACACAAUAUUUUGCUGUGACUUUUAUAUCAUCUCUUGUACACUAUUUUAGGCCCAGCUUUUGGAACUUUGUCUUUCCUAGAUAUAGCCACUAUAUUGUGAUCACUACAUCCAAUGGGUACGGAUACAGCUUGAGAACAAGGUUCUACAGUAUUAGUAAAAAUGUGGUCAAUACAUGUGGAUGAUCUUGUGUCUGUAAACACCCUGGUUAUUUGUUUUUGAGUGAUGCAACAUGUACCUAGUAGACAACAUGAUGGAGCAUGACGGACUCCCUUCCGGCACCGACAGAGAUGGCCGCCUCGCUUCACGUUCCUAGGAAACUAUGCACUCGAUGUCACAGGAAGGCCAUAAAGAUCAUCAAGGACAACAACCACCCGAGCCUGUUCACCCCGCUAUC